AAUCAACGCUGGCGGCGUGCCUCAGACAUGCAAGUCGAACGAGAAAGUCCCCUUCGGGGGAUAAGUAAAGUGGCGCACGGGUGAGUAACACGUAGGUAAUCUACCUUCGGGUGGGGAAUAACCCAGGGAAACUUGGGCUAACACCGCAUAAUGCAGCGGCACCACAUGGUGACAGUUGUUAAAGCGGGGGAUUUUCGAACCUCGCGCCUGAAGAGGAGCCUGCGGCGGAUUAGCUAGNGGUAAGGUAACGGCUUACCAAGGUAACGAUCCGUAGCCGGCCUGAGAGGGCGGUCGGCCACACUGACACUGACAUACGGGUCAGACUCCUACGGGAGGCAGCAGUCGGGAAUUUUGGGCAAUGGGCGAAAGCCUGACCCAGCAACGCCGCGUGAAGGAUGAAA
rnacentral:rRNA from 1 species